rnacentral:lncRNA from 1 species
AAUUAGUUUUUAUUUUCAUCUAUAUUGAAUACUUUAUGCAUGCGUCUAAAGAUUCGAUAUGACGGGGAAUCUUGAAAAAUUUUAGGUUUUUGGGUGGAAGUAAACAAGGCCGGUUUUGGGGGGCGAAAAAUCUAAAGUGGUAGGUAGAGGUGUAGAUGUAGAUUUAAUACACCUUAAGGUCAUGUUUGCCGAGGUCCUUUAAAAUGAUCAUAGCAAUGGUGGGA